rnacentral:rRNA from 1 species
UACGGAGGGUGCAAGCGUUAUCCGGAUUCACUGGGUUUAAAGGGUGCGUAGGUGGGCUAGUAAGUCCGUGGUGAAAUCUCCAAGCUUAACUUGGAAACUGCCGUGGAUACUAUUAGUCUUGAAUAUUGUGGAGGUAAGCGGAAUAUGUCAUGUAGCGGUGAAAUGCUUAGAUAUGACAUAGAACACCGAUAGCGAAGGCAGCUUGCUGCACAAUCAUUGACACUGAGGCACGAAAGCGUGGGGAGCAAACAGG